GACUUCUAAUUGGAAGCUACGCUGGAAUGGCUUUAUCAAUGUUUCUGAUUGUCUAUGCUAUCAGCUUUCCAAUGGACAAUGAAAUAAGCAACAACUUAUCAAUACUGGGAACACUCUUGUAUAUAUUUACCUUUGCUGUUGGAGCUGGGCCAGUAACUGGUCUUAUAAUACCAGAGCUCAGCAGCAGCAGGACACGGGGGAAGAUAAUGGCCUUUAGUUUCUCCGUUCAUUGGGUCUUCAACUUCUUGGUGGGUCUGUUUUUUCUAGAACUCGUUCAGAAAUUUGGUGUUGCUCCAGUUUAUGGAAGCUUCGGUGCUGUUUCAUUGUUGGCAACAACCUUUGCUUACUUCUUAAUAGUUGAGACUAAAGGUCGAUCCCUUGAAGAGAUUGAAAUGUCACUAAAUCCCAAAUUUCAGGGCAAACGUAAUUCAGAAUAAUCUCAUCUCAUGGCUCAUACUGAAGAAAAAUUGGAGAUUCUGGAGAAACUGCAGGGGCUCGUGGAACAAAAAGUCGAAAAUAG
rnacentral:misc_RNA from 1 species